rnacentral:rRNA from 1 species
UACGGAGGAUGCGAGCGUUAUCCGGAAUUAUUGGGUUUAAAGGGUGCGUAGGCGGAAUGGUAAGUCAGCGGUGAAAUACUGCAGCUCAACUGUAGUUGUGCCGUUGAUACUGUCAUUCUUGAGUAUAGAUGAGGUAGGCGGAAUGAGUAGUGUAGCGGUGAAAUGCAUAGAUAUUACUCAGAACACCGAUUGCGAAGGCAGCUUACUAAACUAUAACUGACGCUGAAGCACGAAAGCGUGGGUAU